UUUAUGGAGAGUUUGAUCCUGGCUCAGAGUGAACGCUGGCGGCGUGCCUAAUACAUGCAAGUCGAACGAUGAAGCUUCUAGCUUGCUAGAGUGCUGAUUAGUGGCGCACGGGUGAGUAACGCAUAGGUCAUGUGCCUCUUAGUUUGGGAUAGCCAUUGGAAACGAUGAUUAAUACCAGAUACUCCCUACGGGGGAAAGAUUUAUCGCUAAGAGAUCAGCCUAUGUCCUAUCAGCUUGUUGGUAAGGUAAUGGCUUACCAAGGCUAUGACGGGUAUCCGGUCUGAGAGGGUGAACGGACACACUGGAACUGAGACACGGUCCAGACUCCUACGGGAGGCAGCAGUAGGGAAUAUUGCUCAAUGGGGGAAACCCUGAAGCAGCAACGCCGCGUGGAGGAUGAAGGUUUUAGGAUUGUAAACUCCUUUUGUUAGAGAAGAUAAUGACGGUAUCUAACGAAUAAGCACCGGCUAACUCCGUGCCAGCAGCCGCGGUAAUACGGAGGGUGCAAGCGUUACUCGGAAUCACUGGGCGUAAAGAGCGCGUAGGCGGGAUAGUCAGUCAGGUGUGAAAUCCUAUGGCUUAACCAUAGAACUGCAUUUGAAACUACUAUUCUAGAGUGUGGGAGAGGUAGGUGGAAUUCUUGGUGUAGGGGUAAAAUCCGUAGAGAUCAAGAGGAAUACUCAUUGCGAAGGCGACCUGCUGGAACAUUACUGACGCUGAUUGCGCGAAAGCGUGGGGAGCAAACAGGAUUAGAUACCCUGGUAGUCCACGCCCUAAACGAUGGAUGCUAGUUGUUGGAGGGCUUAGUCUCUCCAGUAAUGCAGCUAACGCAUUAAGCAUCCCGCCUGGGGAGUACGGUCGCAAGAUUAAAACUCAAAGGAAUAGACGGGGACCCGCACAAGCGGUGGAGCAUGUGGUUUAAUUCGAAGAUACACGAAGAACCUUACCUAGGCUUGACAUUGAGAGAAUCCGCUAGAAAUAGUGGAGUGUCUGGCUUGCUAGACCUUGAAAACAGGUGCUGCACGGCUGUCGUCAGCUCGUGUCGUGAGAUGUUGGGUUAAGUCCCGCAACGAGCGCAACCCCCUUUCUUAGUUGCUAACAGGUCAUGCUGAGAACUCUAAGGAUACUGCCUCCGUAAGGAGGAGGAAGGUGGGGACGACGUCAAGUCAUCAUGGCCCUUACGCCUAGGGCUACACACGUGCUACAAUGGGGUGCACAAAGAGAAGCAAUACUGCGAAGUGGAGCCAAUCUUCAAAACGCCUCUCAGUUCGGAUUGUAGGCUGCAACUCGCCUGCAUGAAGCUGGAAUCGCUAGUAAUCGCAAAUCAGCCAUGUUGCGGUGAAUACGUUCCCGGGUCUUGUACUCACCGCCCGUCACACCAUGGGAGUUGUGUUUGCCUUAAGUCAGGAUGCUAAAUUGGCUACUGCCCACGGCACACACAGCGACUGGGGUGAAGUCGUAACAAGGUAACCGUAGGUGAACCUGCGGUUGGAUCACCUCCUUUCUAGA
rnacentral:rRNA from 1 species